GUGAAAGGAGGAGAAGAGAAAGAGAUAGAGAUAGGGGUAGGGACAGGCACAGAGAUAGAAACAAGAGGCGCUAUCGCCGUGAUUAUGAUGAUGACUAUCAUGAUGAACUUUGAACUUGGUGUAAAAGGCCACACAGACAGAUGGUUCCACUCAUUUGGGCUUUUUGUGUUCUUGUUGUAUUCUAAUCUUAACAGUAACUUUAUUUUUGCAUAGUCCAAUGUGUUAGGCUUAAGACAAGAGAGAUUGUACUAUUUCCAUCUUAUUUAGCUUUUUUGGCAAAGCAAAACAUGACUCAAUAUUUUAAAAUCUCUCUACCUCACAAGGGGUGAACGUAAGAUCUGCUUAUAUCAUCCUCCUCAGACUUUACUUAUGGAAAUAUACAUGGUUUGUUGUUG
rnacentral:misc_RNA from 1 species